rnacentral:rRNA from 1 species
UCGAACGAGUUCUCGUUGAUGAUCGGUGCUUGCACCGAGAUUCAACAUGGAACGAGUGGCGGACGGGUGAGUAACACGUGGGUAACCUGCCCUUAAGUGGGGGAUAACAUUUGGAAACAGAUGCUAAUACCGCAUAGAUCCAAGAACCGCAUGGUUCUUGGCUGAAAGAUGGCGUAAGCUAUCGCUUUUGGAUGGACCCGCGGCGUAUUAGCUAGUUGGUGAGGUAAUGGCUCACCAAGGCGAUGAUACGUAGCCGAACUGAGAGGUUGAUCGGCCACAUUGGGACUGAGACACGGCCCAAACUCCUACGGGAGGCAGCAGUAGGGAAUCUUCCACAAUGGACGCAAGUCUGAUGGAGCAACGCCGCGUGAGUGAAGAAGGCUUUCGGGUCGUAAAACUCUGUUGUUGGAGAAGAAUGGUCGGCAGAGUAACUGUUGUCGGCGUGACGGUAUCCAACCAGAAAGCCACGGCUAACUACGUGCCAGCAGCCGCGGUAAUACGUAGGUGGCAAGCGUUAUCCGGAUUUAUUGGGCGUAAAGCGAGCGCAGGCGGUUUUUUAAGUCUGAUGUGAAAGCCCUCGGCUUAACCGAGGAAGCGCAUCGGAAACUGGGAAACUUGAGUGCAGAAGAGGACAGUGGAACUCCAUGUGUAGCGGUGAAAUGCGUAGAUAUAUGGAAGAACACCAGUGGCGAAGGCGGCUGUCUGGUCUGUAACUGACGCUGAGGCUCGAAAGCAUGGGUAGCGAACAGGAUUAGAUACCCUGGUAGUCCAUGCCGUAAACGAUGAAUGCUAGGUGUUGGAGGGUUUCCGCCCUUCAGUGCCGCAGCUAACGCAUUAAGCAUUC